rnacentral:rRNA from 1 species
CCUACGGGAGGCAGCAGUGGGGAAUAUUGCACAAUGGGGGAAACCCUGAUGCAGCGACGCCGCGUGAGUGAAGAAGUAAUUCGUUAUGUAAAGCUCUAUCAGCAGGGAAGAAAAUGACGGUACCUGAGUAAUAAGCCCCGGCUGACUACGUGCCAGCAGCCGCUGUAAUACGUAGGGGGGAAGCGUGAGCCGGUUUUACUGGGGGUAAAGGGAGCGUAGACGGCAGUGCAAGUCUGGAGUGAAAGGCGGGGGGUCAACCCCCGGACUGCUCUGGAAACUGUCCGGCUGGAGUGCAGGAGAGGUAAGUGGAAUUCCUAGUGUAGCGGUGAAAUGCGUAGAUAUUAGGAGGAACACCAGUGGCGAAGGCGGCUUACUGGACUGUAACUGACGUUGAGGCUCGAAAGCGUGGGGAGCAAACAGGAUUAGAUACCCGGGUAGUC